rnacentral:lncRNA from 1 species
AUGUCCCUGGGGUCUCUCUUGUCCCCACUCCCUUCUCGGAUAGUGGUUAUGGGGGUUGGAGGAGAAAAUGAUUGUUGCAUUAUCUGCCAAAAACAAAAUUGAUUUUGUUGAUGGCACGUGCUCCCGACCAGCCACUAAUGUGGCUCAACAAAGGUUAUGGGAUAGGGGUAAUAACAUGGUGAUUUCCUGGUUAACUGCCUCCCUCUCCCCUCAAAUUGCUGAAAGUGUACAGUAUUCUGAUACUGCACAGAGUAUCAAUGUCCAUACUAAUAGGCAUUCAGUUGGAUUUAACAAGGCCACAGUGUCUAAUCAUUCUUCUCCUUUCAAACAAAGAGUCAAUUUUGAUCAAGCCAGAGGGCCUUUAUUCUGUAGAUACUGUAAAAAAUCUGGNNNNNNNNNNNNNNNNNNNNNNNNNNNNNNNNNNNNNNNNNNNNNUUAUUCUGUAGAUACUGUAAAAAAAUCUGGACACUUAAUUGAUAAGUGUUUCAAGAUCCAUGGGUAUCCACAAAGUACAAAUUUUAACAAGAGGAGGAGACCUGCUGCUGCUCAUCUUACUGCUGGUCUGGAUUUCCCUCAUUCUGAGGGACAUAUGUCUGUUCCCCAAGGGAAUCCUCCUGAAAGCCAUCAAUCUGUUCCAAAAUAGAUGGCCAGAGUUCUGUGAUACCAGGGUUGAGCAGAAAACAGUAUGAUCAAUUUAUGAACUUAUUACAACAGACUCAGUUAGGGGACUCCACUGCUCAGACUCCUCCUCCCAUGUUUGCUGCUAACUUUGCUGGUACUAUGUUAACUGAGAACCCUAUUUCUAAUUCCAAACUCUUCAUGCUUACCAAUAUUAAUUCUGUCACCUAGAUUAUAGAUUCAGGUGCCUCUAAUCACAUGACACAUGAUAAACAGUUACUUUCUAACAUCACACCUUUAACUCUGCCCUAUCUUGUCACUCUUUAUAAUGGCUAUAAAGUGAAAGUAACAUGCACAGGUUCUUUUGCACUAACUCCUUCCAUCACUCUUCAUAAUGUACUGCUAGUUCCUUCUUUUAAAUACAACUUGAUUUCUGUCCACAAGUUAGU